CGUGCACGCUGGCGGUAGGCCUAACACAUGCAAGUCGAACGGCAGCACAGUAAGAGCUUGCUCUUACGGGUGGCGAGUGGCGGACGGGUGAGGAAUACAUCGGAAUCUACUUUUUCGUGGGGGAUAACGUAGGGAAACUUACGCUAAUACCGCAUACGACCUACGGGUGAAAGCAGGGGAUCUUCGGACCCUGCGCGAUUGAAUGAGCCGAUGUCGGAUUAGCUAGUUGGCGGGGUAAAGGCCCACCAAGGCGACGAUCCGUAGCUGGUCUGAGAGGAUGAUCGGCCACACUGGAACUGAGACACGGUCCAGACUCCUACGGGAGGCAGCAGUGGGGAAUAUUGGACAAUGGGCGCAAGCCUGAUCCAGCCAUACCGCGUGGGUGAAGAAGGCCUUCCGGUUGUAAAGCCCUUUUGUUGGGAAAGAAAAGCAGCAGGUUAAUACCCCGCUGUUCUGACGGUACCCAAAGAAUAAGCACCGGCUAACUUCGUG
rnacentral:rRNA from 1 species